AUGAGGGCCGUGGUGCAGCGCGUCCUCUCGGCCAGCGUCGAGGUGGAAGGGCAAGUGGUUUCGGCGAUCGGCCCGGGCCUCCUCGUCCUCGUCGGCGUUCACGAGGCUGACACCAGCUCCGACGCCGACUACAUCUGUCGGAAGGUCCUGAAUAUGAGGCUGUUUACUAAUGAGAAGACUGGAAAAGCAUGGGAUCAGAGUGUUAUGCAGCGGAACUUUGAAGUCCUGUUAGUGAGCCAAUUUACCUUAUAUGGAAUCCUGAAGGGUAGCAAGCCAGAUUUCCAUGUGGCUAUGCCGCCUGCGAAAGCAAAACCUUUCUACGCUUCUUUGGUUGAGAAGUUUCAAAAGUCGUACAAAACUGAUUCAGUUAAAGAUGGCAUUUUUGGAGCAAUGAUGAAGGUUUCAUUGGUAAAUGAUGGCCCUGUAACAAUGCAAGUUGACUCACCCUCCCUGCAAGGCUCUGGUCAGUCAAGCAAUGGUGAUGCUGGUUUGGUAAGAGACGGUGAAGCAGCAGUACCCGAUGAGACUCAUUAA
rnacentral:rRNA from 1 species